CUCUACUUUUUAUUAAAGUUUGACAUUGUCAACUAGAAUUUGUAGUCACUAUUGAUAGUGUAAUUUGAUACAUUAUUUAUUUUGUUUCUCUGAAAUGGUUUACUCUUUGCAAGAAAAAAUUGAAAUUGUAGGUUUAUACUACCAAAAUAAUAAUUGUGCAAGAGCUGCUGCUAGAAUAUUUAAAGAAUUACAUGACGGAAGACAUGCAACUCAUAAGUAUGUAAUUCAACUGAUGGAGAAAUUUACCACAACAGGGUCUGUUUGCAAUAAAGUGCAUAAGCGAGAGGGACUCGUAAAUAACGAAGUAAUCCAAGUGGCAUUUUAGGUUCGUGAGUACACUUUACAAUGUUGAAGAAGUUUUUAUCAUGAUGGCAAUCAGUAGAGAAGAUGAGUAUUUGAUUAACUUCUUGUGUAUGAUGAUGAAGAUAAUAAUUUUCUAUGAAAACACAGUAGAUAUUGAUGAUUUGCAUCCAUAUCUAAUAUGAGUAAAUAAGAUCUUGAUAACUAUCACAUAUUACUUAUGUGUUACAUAUUUAUACAGCCACUUUUUUAUUAUUUCAGGCGUAUUUUUCACCAAACAUACUUUCGAUGUGAUGUAAGUUUCUUUUAUAUUUCUCAAUUGAAGUUAAAAACACACAUUUACGUUAUUAAAAUCCUAAAUCAACAAUAAUUCAAUAUGAUUGCACAAGUCAUUUAGACAAUCAUAUCACAAAUAUGAUAAACUUGUCACAUGAAGACAAUAACAAAUUACUUAUAUGAAAAAACGAUUAAAACUUUUUUCACAUCACAAGAGCACAUUUUGAAUUGAAGUAUCAAAAUUUUUAAUGUUUAAUGGAAUAAUCUUUUAAAAUUGGUAAAUAUGUAUAAGCAGUUCAAUUACUGACUAUGAUAUUACAGUGGUUAAAUAUAUAAUAUUUUUAAUCAUUCUAUAAAAAACAUGAAAAGUAUUUUUCUGCCUUAUCUUUAAUUGUUAUAACUAAGAGAAACACUUAUUUAAAAAUUUUUAAAAAUAAUUUAAUUACAUGAUAAUUGUAAAUCAAGACCUAAAGGAAUAAAUAGACUUUUGGAAAUUAAUUUAUUCAGAACAAGAUCUAUUUAAAAUUCUCCAUGUUAAAUAUAACUAGCUAAUUCAACAUGUCAUGUAUGUAAUUUAUUUGGUAAAUAGUUCCUAAAUCUAAUAAAAUUUAUUGAGAUCACAA